rnacentral:rRNA from 1 species
UACGGAGGGUGCAAGCGUUAUCCGGAUUUACUGGGUUUAAAGGGUGCGUAGGCGGACUUGUAAGUCAGGGGUGAAAUCCCGGGGCUCAACCCCGGAACUGCCUUUGAUACUAUAGGUCUUGAAUAUUGUUGAGGUGGGCGGAACGGGUCAUGUAGCGGUGAAAUGCAUAGAUAUGACCCGGAACACCGAUUGCGAAGGCAGCCCGCUAAGCAAUGAUUGACGCUGAGGCACGAAAGCGUGGGGAUCAAACAGG